rnacentral:rRNA from 1 species
GAUGAACGCUAGCGACAGGCUUAACACAUGCAAGUCGAGGGGCAGCAUAGAAGUAGCAAUACUUUGGUGGCGACCGGCGCACGGGUGAGUAACGCGUAUGCAACCUACCUAUCAGAGGGGAAUAACCCGGCGAAAGUCGGACUAAUACCGCAUAAAACAGGGGCACCGCAUGGUGAUAUUUGUUAAAGAAAUUCGCUGAUAGAUGGGCAUGCGUUCCAUUAGGUAGUUGGUGAGGUAACGGCUCACCAAGCCGACGAUGGAUAGGGGAACUGAGAGGUUGGUCCCCCACACUGGUACUGAGACACGGACCAGACGCCUACGGGAGGCAGCAGUGAGGAAUAUUGGUCAAUGGGCGGGAGCCUGAACCAGCCAAGUCGCGUGAAGGAAGAAGGAUCUAUGGUUCGUAAACUUCUUUUGCAGGGGAAUAAAGUGCGGGACGUGUCCUGUUUUGUAUGUACCCUGAGAAUAAGGAUCGGCUAACUCCGUGCCAGCAGCCGCCGUAAGAC